GAUGAAGAACGCAGCGAAAUGCGAUAAGUAAUGUGAAUUGCAGAAUUCAGUGAAUCAUCGAAUCUUUGAACGCACAUUGCGCCCGCCAGUAUUCUGGCGGGCAUGCCUGUUCGAGCGUCAUUACAACCCUCAGGCCCCCGGGCCUGGCGUUGGGGAUCGGCGGAGCCCCCCGUGUGCACACGCCGUCCCCCAAAUGCAGUGGCGGUCCCGCCGCAGCUUCCAUCGCGUAGUAGCUAACACCUCGCGACUGGAGAGCGGCGCGGCCACGCCGUAAAACACCCAACUCUUCUGAAGUUGACCUCGAAUCAGGUAGGAAUACCCGCUGAACUUAAGCAUAUCAAUAAGCGGAGGA
rnacentral:misc_RNA from 1 species